UACGGAGGGUGCAAGCGUUGUCCGGAUUUAUUGGGUUUAAAGGGUGCGUAGGUGGCUUGUUAAGUCCGGGGUGAAAGCCCACAGCUCAACUGUGGAACUGCCCUGGAUACUGGCGAGCUUGAGUCCAGACGAGGUUGGCGGAAUGGAUGCUGUAGCAGUGAAAUGCAUAGAUAGCAUCCAGAACCCCGAUUGCGUAGGCAGCUGACUAGGCUGGUACUGACACUGAGGCACGAAAGCGUGGGGAGCGAACAGG
rnacentral:rRNA from 1 species